rnacentral:rRNA from 1 species
UGGGGAAUUUUGGACAAUGGGGGAAACCCUGAUCCAGCCAUCCCGCGUGUGCGAUGAAGGCCUUCGGGUUGUAAAGCACUUUUGGCAGGAAAGAAACGUCAUGGGUUAAUACCCCGUGAAACUGACGGUACCUGCAGAAUAAGCACCGGCUAACUACGUGCCAGCAGCCGCGGUAAUACGUAGGGUGCAAACGUUAAUCGGAAUUACUGGGCGUAAAGCGUGCGCAGGCGGUUCGGAAAGAAAGAUGUGAAAUCCCAGAGCUCAACUUUGGAACUGCAUUUUUAACUACCGGGCUAGAGUGUGUCAGAGGGAGGUGGAAUUCCGCGUGUAGCAGUGAAAUGCGUAGAUAUGCGGAGGAACACCGAUGGCGAAGGCAGCCUCCUGGGAUAACACUGACGCUCAUGCACGAAAGCGUGGGGAGCAAACAGG